rnacentral:tRNA from 1 species
GCAGGUAUAGUUUAAGUGGUAAAAUAUCUGCCUUCCAAGCAGAGGCUAUCGGUUCAAGUCCGUUUACCUGCU